CGAAAAGAGAGCGCGAAUCGCCUGAGAAUUCUCCGACGAUCUUGUGCUUCGACAUUUUCCGGCCACCGGAUCUCACCGUAAACAUGACAACAUCAAGGCGUCUUGCAGAUAGGAAGGUAGAGAAGUUUGAGAAGAACAUCACCAAGAGGGGAUCUGUGCCUGAAACGACUACUAAGAAGGGAAGUGACUAUCCUGUUGGGCCUGUUCUGCUUGGGUUCUUCGUCUUUGUUGUCAUUGGAUCUUGUAAGCUUCUCCUUCAUUUAGUUUUUACCAUUUCUUACUGCUAUUGAUAUUGAUAUACAUUUUUAUCAGUUUUCAAAGUUUCUCUAAGGACUUUUCACACGUAGCGGUAUUACAUGGUUGUGCCUUUUCUUUCUCUCCUUUGUCAGCCAGAUAUACGAAGAUAUCCAUCUCUGUCUCUAUUAUGCCCAUGAACACACUUGAUCACCUUAUUCAGAUUAAUAGUAACCAGAUUAAGUUAUUAUAUUUAUUUAAGCAUAGAUAGAAUAGACCUUCUUGGAUAGAAGGAUAGUCCUCGGUAAUUUGGUGAAAAGAAAAUCGUUGAUCUAAUUUAAUAAAUCCGUCUGGUUCCCACUGA